UACGUAGGGUGCAAGCGUUAAUCGGAAUUACUGGGCGUAAAGCGUGCGCAGGCGGUGUUGUAAGACAGUUGUGAAAUCCCCGGGCUCAACCUGGGAACUGCAUCUGUGACUGCAUCGCUGGAGUACGGUAGAGGGGGAUGGAAUUCCGCGUGUAGCAGUGAAAUGCGUAGAGAUGAGGCGGAACACCGAUGGCGAAGGCAGCCCCCUGGGCUGAGAUUGACGCUCAGGCACGAAAGCGUGGGGAGCAAACAGG
rnacentral:rRNA from 1 species